GAGUUUGAUCCUGGCUCAGGACGAACGCUGGCGGCGUGCUUAACACAUGCAAGUCGAACGGUGAUCAUCAAGCUUGCUUGGUGUGAUCAGUGGCGAACGGGUGAGUAACACGUGAGCAACCUGCCCUCCACUUCGGGAUAAGCCUUGGAAACGGGGUCUAAUACCGGAUAUGAGCUGCUGCCGCAUGGUGGUGGUUGGAAAGGUUUAUUGGUGGGGGAUGGGCUCGCGGCCUAUCAGCUUGUUGGUGGGGUAAUGGCCUACCAAGGCGUCGACGGGUAGCCGGCCUGAGAGGGCGAUCGGCCACACUGGGACUGAGACACGGCCCAGACUCCUACGGGAGGCAGCAGUGGGGAAUAUUGCACAAUGGGCGGAAGCCUGAUGCAGCGACGCCGCGUGGAGGAUGACGGCCUUCGGGUUGUAAACUCCUUUCAGCAGGGAAGAAGCGCGAGUGACGGUACCUGCAGAAGAAGCACCGGCUAACUACGUGCCAGCAGCCGCGGUAAUACGUAGGGUGCAAGCGUUGUCCGGAAUUAUUGGGCGUAAAGAGCUCGUAGGUGGUCUGUCGCGUCUGGUGUGAAAACUUGAGGCUCAACCUCAAGCCUGCACCGGGUACGGGCAGACUAGAGUACUGUAGGGGAGACUGGAAUUCCUGGUGUAGCGGCGGAAUGCGCAGAUAUCAGGAGGAACACCGAUGGCGAAGGCAGGUCUCUGGGCAGUUACUGACGCUGAGGAGCGAAAGCAUGGGGAGCGAACAGGAUUAGAUACCCUGGUAGUCCAUGCCGUAAACGUUGGGCACUAGGUGUGGGGGCCAUUCCACGGUUCCCGUGCCGCAGCUAACGCAUUAAGUGCCCCGCCUGGGGAGUACGGCCGCAAGGCUAAAACUCAAAGGAAUUGACGGGGGCCCGCACAAG
rnacentral:rRNA from 1 species